rnacentral:rRNA from 1 species
UACGUAGGGCGCAAGCGUUAUCCGGAAUUAUUGGGCGUAAAGAGCGUGUAGGCGGCCAGACAAGUCUGCUGUGAAAACUCGAGGCUCAACCUCGAGCUGUCGGCGGAAACUGUCUGGCUAGAGUCCGGAAGAGGAGAGUGGAAUUCCUGGUGUAGCGGUGAAAUGCGCAGAUAUCAGGAAGAACACCUAUGGCGAAGGCAGCUCUCUGGGACGGUACUGACGCUGAGACGCGAAAGCGUGGGGAGCGAACAGG